GACGUAGGGCGCGAGCGUUGUCCGGAUUUAUUGGGCGUAAAGAGCUCGUAGGCGGCUUGUCGCGUCGACUGUGAAAACUCGGGGCUCAACUCCGAGCUUGCAGUCGAUACGGGCAGGCUAGAGUUCGGUAGGGGAGACUGGAAUUCCUGGUGUAGCGGUGAAAUGCGCAGAUAUCAGGAGGAACACCUAUUGCGAAGGCAGCUCGCUGGGACGUAACUGACGCUGAGACGCGAAAGCGUGGGGAGCAAACAGG
rnacentral:rRNA from 1 species